AGUCAUAUGCUUGUCUCAAAGAUUAAGCCAUGCAUGUCUAAGUAUAAGCAAUCUAUACAGUGAAACUGCGAGUGGCUCAUUAAAUCAGUUAUCGUUUAUUUGAUAGUACCUUACUACUUGGAUAACCGUGGUAAUUCUAGAGCUAAUACAUGCUAAAAAUCCCGACCUCUGGAAGGGAUGUAUUUAUUAGAUAAAAAACCAAUGGCUUCGGCCUCCUUGGUGAUUCAUGAUAACUUUACGAAUCGCAUGGCCUUGUGCCGGCGAUGGUUCAUUCAAAUUUCUGCCCUAUCAACUUUCGAUGGUAGGAUAGUGGCCUACCAUGGUUUCAACGGGUAACGGGGAAU
rnacentral:rRNA from 1 species